GCAGGACGGAUGUGCCGGUGCCCCUCUUUACUCGAUCCUGAGAGUUACAGCCGUGUCCGUCUCGAUCUGGGCAGCAAGAGACAGACAUGAACAUGACCCAUGGAAUCACUGCCUACUGGAGCAAACAAACUCCAGCUCCAGUAGGAGCUCUAAUUUGUUGUGAUUAGGCCAGAUCUGGGUGAUCAGAAGCUGACAAAAUUACAUUUGAAUGCUGCUUUGUUACAGUGAGAUAUUACAGGCUUAAUCCUGCUCAGUGAUGGCCUGAACUGUAACUUGAAUUUUUGCCUCAAAAGUGUUUCCAAAAUUUUUCUGGGAACAGGUUGAUCAUAAUACUGACUUGUGGUUGGAAAUUGCCUGCCAUAUCCAGAAAACAAAUAAGACAAAUAUUUUCCAUUGGAAACAAGGACAUGGUUUCCCAGUUGGCUCCUGUUACUACUAUUAAGUCACUACCCCUUUUUGGAACUCUGAAAGUGCACAUAACCCUUUGAAAUAAGCUUAAGUGAGAGAAGUCUUGUGUUCAUUUUGACAGAAAAGUAUUUCUGUAAAUCAUCUAGAACAGAAUUUUCUUAGCAAGUCCUAAGGCCUCCAGCUUCUCUGAUUAUUAAAGG